GGGCUCUGCAGCGCCUGCGGCGCCAUGAUGGCCGCCGGGCCGGGGUGUCCGCACGGCGCCUGCUCGGAAACGCGGUAAGGUCGCAUCGGGGCAGACCCUCAGGUCGGACGACCGGUUUUCGGACGUCGUCUCCGCACGGCGGCUCCGGGCUCGCGGUCGGAAGGCCUGAGACCCCCCCCACCCCACCCCCAGCGGAGGGCGGGUCCGGCGGCUCGCGGACAGCCCGGCGCGAGGCCCCGCGGCUCCGGUGGGGGACGUCGCUGCGGGCGGCCGUGCUGCUGGCGUCCAAGAUGUCGACCAAGAAUUUCCGAGUCAGUGACGGGGACUGGAUCUGCCCUGACAAGAAGUGUGGAAAUGUAAACUUCGCUAGGAGAACCAGCUGUAACAGAUGUGGCCGGGAGAAGACCACUGAGGCCAAGAUGAUGAAAGCUGGGGGAACAGAAAUAGGAAAGACGCUGGCAGAGAAGAGCCGGGGCUUAUUUAGUGCGAAUGACUGGCAAUGCAAAACUUGCAGUAAUGUGAAUUGGGCCAGAAGAUCAGAAUGUAACAUGUGUAAUACUCCAAAGUAUGCUAAAUUAGAAGAAAGAACAGGAUAUGGAGGUGGUUUUAAUGAAAGAGAAAAUGUUGAAUAUAUAGAAAGAGAAGAAUCUGAUGGGGAAUAUGAUGAGUUUGGACGUAAAAAGAAAAAAUACAGGGGAAAGGCAGUUGGUCCUGCGUCUAUAUUAAAGGAAGUCGAAGAUAAAGAAUCAGAGGGAGAAGAAGAGGAUGAGGAUGAAGAUCUGUCUAAAUAUAAGCUGGAUGAGGACGAGGAUGAAGAUGAUGCUGAUCUCUCAAAAUAUAAUCUUGAUGCCAGUGAAGAAGAAGAUAGUAACAAAAAGAAAACCAAUAGACGGAGUCGUUCAAAGUCUCGGUCAUCUCACUCAAGAUCUUCAUCACGUUCAUCCUCCCCCUCAAGUUCAAGGUCCAGGUCCAGGUCCCGUUCAAGAAGCUCUUCCAGCUCCCAGUCAAGGUCUCACUCCGGCUCCAGAGAACAUUCCAGAUCCCGUGGUUCGAAAUCAAGAUCCAGCUCCAGGUCCCACAGGGGCUCUUCCUCCCCAAGAAAAAGAUCUUACUCGAGCUCUUCAUCAUCUCCCGAGAGAGACAGGAAGAGGAGUCGCUCUCGGCCUUCUUCACCUGCUGUUCGCAAAAAAAGACGAACGAGAUCACGGUCACCCGAAAGGUUUGGGUUUCUGUAGAAUAAGAAUGGGUGUUCUUACAUAUAUAAUAGGUGGACUUUCUAGGCGAGGGCUAGAUUUCUUUCUACUUUGUUCUUUAAAUUUUACCUUUCAUCUUUAAACGUCAGAAUUCAGGUUACUUUGUUUAGCUUGCUUAUUAACUUUAGAAAAAGUUACAGGACAGACUAUUCUCUGGUUAUUUUAUUGUUUGAAUUUUAUUUCCAUGUAUAUUAUUAUAGCCAACUCUCGGUUAUUUUUGUGUUUUUAAAUAUUGAAACCCAAAAGCUGUAUGUUGAAAUAAUUUACAUGUGUUUUUUUAAUAAUUAAAUAUUAGAAAUGAUAGGAUACUUGAUCAGGAUUAACUUGCAACGCCACUGGGGUCUGUCCUUGUUUAAGUACGUACACAUGUGUUACCAUAGCAAGUUACUUUAUGCCCUUCACAUGGAGGUUAGCCUUGUAGUCAGUACUUUUUUAUCUUACAGUCCAGAUCCAUUUUUCCCUUUUGAAAAGGACCCUCCCUGGGUCCUUGUGUCUAGAGUGCACUAGUCAUGUGUCAGCCUUUUCUGCAACAAACUUGAUUACUUGGUUUCACUAAUUAUCUCUUGGUUCUUAAUGUAUUAAUUAUGAUUUGUGGCUUCGUUUGUAAUCUUGGCAACUUUUCCAUAUCCUCUCAGCUUGUGAAAGAAAAGAAUGAUCGUUAGAGACUGGUGACGGCUGGGUUCAGAGGCCAGGUGAUUGGUGAAAGUACUAAACAACCCUGAGCCCAGGGCCAACCCCUACGGAACACCUCCACUUUGCCCAGGUUGAUACUGACUUACUCAUAUUGGCUGCAUGACUCUAGCACUUUAGCUAACUGUACAGUCACCUUCUGUGAACUAGACUUCCAGAACGUCAUUGCUUUGAAUGUACUUUCUCAUGCACUCAGAAGCCAUGCUGUGUUAGACCUGGUGUGCUCUCUGUGGUACAGCUGACAUGGAUUUUAUCACACACCUACCUUGUACGUGUAUAUCAGUAUGGGCUUUUUUUUUUUUUUUUUUUUUUUUUUUUUCAAGGCUUUUCCUUCAUUAUCUUGAAUAAUUGAGAGGUGGCUAUAUUUGAAAUGAGUGUCUAUUCUUCAAUUGUAGAGUUUUGAGUUAAAGUCACACCAAUUCUGGGCUCACAUUCAAAAGUGUAUGUAAGCUAUUUUAGGUUUUAAUUACUCCUUCGAGCAUCAAGGUACCUAGUGUUUCCUCUGCUCUUUUUGGUGUUUGCAGUCUUAGAAACAGAAGCUUAGCUUAGUGCUAUUGACAGAUUGUGCUGCUCUCUUAUGUCUUACAGGCACCACAGGUCGUCUUCCGGAUCAACCCAUUCUGGUUCCCGUUCAAGUUCAAAAAAGAAAUAAUGUAUUAAAAUUUACAUCUUUACAGAACAUUGAGUACAGUGCAUGAAGCAUAUUUUUUAGGAAGUUGAUGUCUCAUUUGGUCAGAAGUGCUACAUCUGCUAGUAGAGGUGCAUGCCUUUAUUGAUUUUCAAAACAAUACAACUGUUUAUUUGUGAAAUUGAAAGUAAAUUGCAUUUUAAGCCAUACUGUUCCCCAGCUGAAUGUUCUGUUCAUUAUUUACAAACAUCUGCUUCGUUUAAAACCAUCAUAGCUACAGAGUACUUUGUUUCCUAAUUUAAAUCCUUACCCUUUUCAUUCCUAAAUGUGCUAUUGACAAAGAUGGGGUUGCCCUGGGCUUGCCUGAACUUCAGACACAUAGGCAAGAGUAAUAAACUAGUUGGAACAACCAAUUCAUGUUCGUAUGGGAGUAGUAGUCAACCUGGUUAUGUUGUUUACCUGGGCCAGUAAUUUCUCACCAGAAGUUAACUACGUUGCAAAGCUGACAACUGAGAACUUUAAAUUCUCUGUGCUGAGGGUGCCUUAGAAUCAUUGUCUCUCCUAUCAGCUGUACACCACUUUUAAUGCAAGAGGAUCUUAGCAAUUGCAGAUGGGAAAGAUUAUCCACAUCUUAUUGCAAAAUGCCUCUGAGAUAGACGUUUAAGAAAUGUGGAUAUCCUUUAAAUCUAGUUACUAAAUGUUGUAUUUAAUUAAUAAAGGUUUAAAAAAGGAUAAAUCAUAGUUAAUGAGCAAAUUGAAGAAAGCUUUUGAAGGCUGUUUUCAGUGACAGGCUGAUAGAGACAUGAAUUUAAGUGAACAUUUGCCUUGAGAUGUCUCAUUUUUCAACACUGUAGAUAUCUAACAAGAAUUUUUUAUAUCUGCAUGAUUUAAGCAAAAUCAUUUUUCUCCUCACCUGGAAAAAAAACAUAUGGCUUAAAAUGCUUUCAGAGUUUUAUUUCUCAAAUUAAAAUCUGGUCGCUUGAGAUCCAUUUUGUUCUCUAGUUUAAAAGUUAAAACGUUUCUCUUAACAGUCUCUUCAGCAGCAAAGCAAGGUAAGUAUCUAAGGGACUGACAGUUGUGCUGGGCUCCUUGUUAGGGAAUUACUUUUCCUGUUUCUCCCCUUUAGUAUUUGUCUGCUGCAGUUUAAAUAAAGCAUUCUAAGAUGUAUAGUAGACAGAUCAAACAAAAAAUGUUUUUAUUUUAGAGUGUUUUUCUCCUCAACUGAUCUAAAGAUGAAAACAAAAUAUUGUACGUAGAAGUAUUUUGGUAAUAUUUUUACAAGCUUUCCUGUGUUUUUUUGUCUUAUUUUCCUUGCUGCAUUUACUGUAGGUUGCACAUGAACUCUUACUCUCUUGUAAUUGUGCCUCAGACUUCUUGAAAGUCGAUUUUCUGAGUUGCCCAGAUCUUCUAGAUCCGACCUGUUAACCUUGGUUUGUUCUUGUGCUUUCUGUAUUUAAAACUUGGGCUGUACUAGGCAAAUACAAGAUUAUAAAUUUAGCUAACAGUUUACAAACAGUUCAGAUGAUUAUGAUUUGAUUUGGUUUAAUUGAGCUGUACUAGUUCAUUUCAUAAGGAAAUGAUACUGUAGACAAAUGUAAAUAAAAUCUGUGAGUCAA